rnacentral:lncRNA from 1 species
CCUCUGUGCUCCCUGCCUAUUCCCUCUCCCUUUUUCCCCUUGUCUCUGUCUCUGGAUGUCUCUGUGUCUCUGGGUGUUUCUGUGAGUCUCCUGGCCUCAGGGCACCUCCCUGCUUUUGAGUUCCCCUCUGCUCCCUGCCCCUCCCUUUCCCCUCUGUCUCCUUCUGUGUGUCUCUGUGUAUCUCUGUGUGUCUCUGUAGGUCUCUGUGCUUUUCCUUGUCUCUGUGUCCCCCUCUAUUCCCCACCCCUCUCCCCUCUCUCUGUUACUGCAUCUCUAUCUGUUUCAGCCUAUCUCUGCGUGUCUCUGUCUCUGUGAAUCUCUGUGUCUCUGUGAGUCUGGGGCCUCUCCCUGACUCCGUGUCCCCUGCGCUCCCCGCCCUCUCCCUCUCCCUCUCUCCCCCCUCUCUCUCUCGCUCGCGCUCUCUCUCUGAGCAUCCUUGGGCCCGGGGUUGCCAUGGGGACAAGGUGGGAGCCGGGGAUGGCGCGCGCCUGGGCUCGCGCCGGCAGCUCAGGCGAGGAGCAGCGGCCAGAGCAGCGCCAGCAGCAGGCAGCGAGCGGGCGCGGGAGCGGGAGCGGGAGCGGGGGUAGCGUUGGCGGCGGCGGCUCCUCCUCGGCCAUCCCCUCGGAGCUGUGCAGCUGACGCGCAUGGCGAAGACAGCGGCGCCUACCGAUGGGAGCAGCGGUUCUCUACUGGACCAGGUUGGUGGCUUGAAUGUAUUAGCUUCGCUGCUUCUGCCCAAGAGGUAAGGGCCACGGUCCCAGAGCUUUGCUUAUUGCUGUGCUCCGCCUCCAGUCUCCUCUCGGAAGCCCCUGCUUUCCCAUCCUCAUCUCCGGCCCCACCCCGGGGAUGCUGCCCUUCCUCGCUCUGCCUCUGUCCUCUGCGAGGUUACUCUGAUCUGUGUGUCCUGCGGCUUUCUGGCCAAAUCCGUGGUUCUGGUUGUUGGUGACCGUGGGGAUUUCUGCCAAUGAGUGGUAGGUAGGCUCAGUAGGAGAGAGAUGGGGGUAACUUGGUGGCUCAGAUCACAGCUUGGGGUCAGGACCUCCCGUGUCAGAAUCUCUUUUCUGUCCCUUCCUGACUGCGAGUGACUUGGGACAGUCAGAGCCUCCAUUUCCUCGUCUAUAAAAGGGCAUAAUAACAGAACCCACUCUACUCGCUGUCCCGAGGAUGGAAGCCUAGUGAGGCUCUUCAGGUUCCAGCUCGGGAGCCAGACAGCACCAGCUCUGCCUGCUGCCAGCUGUGCGAUCCUCAGUUUCCCCAUCUGUCAAAGGAGGGUAAUGACAGCACCCCUGCACACACACACACACACACACACACACAGGAUGUGAGGAUGAAAGAAGUUACUCCAGGAAAGCAUGGAGCCUGGGAAUCAGGAGCCUGAAAUGCAGCUGGAAGCUCCCCUGAGCAAGUGAGGAUUUGUGAGGCCCCUCCUUGGAGCCCGCUGAGACUCUCAGACAGAAGCAGGAGUCCUCUAGCCGCUCAGCUCUGCAGGAGGCAGAGGCUCUGGGCAUCUGCUCUGGGGUUGGCUCCACUCAGCUUGGUGAGGCCCUGGCAGUGAGCAUCUGGGGAGGGGUAGGGACAGGGCCUCUGGGGUGGGACCCUGCCUCGUGCUGCCCCAACCAGAACGGUUUAACCCACAGGCCUCAGGACCCCAGAGAGGCCUCUGCUUGCCCUUAUAGCCUCGUUGC